GAUGAACGCUGGCGGCGUGCCUAACACAUGCAAGUCGAGCGAACGGACGAGAAGCUUGUUUCUCUGAUGUUAGCGGCGGACGGGUGUGUCACAUGUGGAUCCUCUACUUAUAUGUCGGGGAUAAUUACGGAAAACCGGCGAAAAUACCGGAGGAUAUUUUGAACCGCAUGGUUCAAAGGAAAAAGUCGGCCUUGCGGUCUCUACUAGCUGGUUCCCCGCUGCUUUGGUUGGUUGGUAGGGUCACGGCCUAUCAAGGCGACGAUGCGUGACCGAGCGGAUAGAGUGAUCGGCCACACUGGAGGUGAGACACGGUCCAGACUCCUGCGGGAGGCAGCAGUAGGGUAUGUGCGGCAGUGGGCGAGAGCCUGACGCAGCGACGCCGCGUGAGUGAUGGAGACCUUCGGAGCGUAAAGCUCUGUUAUUGGUGAAGAACAGAUGUGGAAUUAGAUGUGGACAUAGUGACGGUACCUAAUCAAAAAGCACCGGCUAACUACGUG
rnacentral:rRNA from 1 species